GUCUCAAACUAUAAUUAAAAUAACAAGAAAGAAAGAAAGAAAAAAAAAAGAGCAUGUUUAAAGCCCACCUUUAUGUGGAAGUGCCUUGUCUAACUAUGAAUGAGCAAUGCUUUUUUAAUCUAAAUGAUUCCAUAAACCUUGAUUCGAAAUCUCCCUUUCUUACUCAUGAUCAAAAACCCUCCCUAAGCAGAUGACAACCUCCUAUUUUAUCCUUUUCUCUAAUCAUUAUCUGAAUCAUUCACAAGAGCCUUACAUUCAUUUAGAUGCCCUAAACUUAGA
rnacentral:lncRNA from 1 species